GAUGAACGCUAGCGAUAGGCUUAACACAUGCAAGUCGAGGGGCAGCGAGGGUAGCAAUACCUGUCGGCGACCGGCGCACGGGUGAGUAACGCGUAUGUAACCUGCCCGCAACAGGGGGAUAACCCGGCGAAAGUCGGACUAAUACCGCAUAAAACAGGGGUCCCGCCUGGGAAUAUUUGUUAAAGAUUUAUCGGUUGCGGAUGGGCAUGCGUACCAUUAGGUAGUUGGUGAGGUAACGGCUCACCAAGCCUUCGAUGGUUAGGGGUUCUGAGAGGAAGGUCCCCCACACUGGUACUGAGACACGGACCAGACUCCUACGGGAGGCAGCAGUGAGGAAUAUUGGUCAAUGGGCGAGAGCCUGAACCAGCCAAGUCGCGUGAAGGAUGACUGCCCUAUGGGUUGUAAACUUCUUUUACAAGGGAAUAAAAUGAGAUACGUGUAUUUUAUUGCAUGUACCUUGGGAAUAAGCAUCGGCUAACUCCGUG
rnacentral:rRNA from 1 species